rnacentral:rRNA from 1 species
UACGUAGGUGGCAAGCGUUGUUCGGAAUUAUUGGGCGUAAAGGGUGUGUAGGCGGUUUGUUAAGUCUGAUGUGAAAGCCCACGGCUCAACCGUGGAGGGUCAUUGGAAACUGGGGGACUUGAGUACAGAAGAGAAGAGUGGAAUUCCACGUGUAGCGGUGAAAUGCGUAGAGAUGUGGAGGAACACCAGUGGCGAAGGCGACUCUUUGGUCUGUAACUGACGCUGAGGCGCGAAAGCGUGGGGAGCAAACAGG